rnacentral:rRNA from 1 species
CCCACGCCUUCCCAUUCCGAACAGGACCGUGAAACGCCUUAGCGCCGAUGAUAGUGCAGAUACCUGUGUGAAAGUAGGACACCGCCAGAC